rnacentral:rRNA from 1 species
GGGGAGUGAAAUAGAACCUGAAACCGUGUGCUUACAAGUAGUCAGAGCCCGUUAAUGGGUGAUGGCGUGCCUUUUGUAGAAUGAACCGGCGAGUUACGAUUUGAUGCAAGGUUAAGCAGUAAAUGUGGAGCCGUAGCGAAAGCGAGUCUGAAUAGGGCGUUUAGUAUUUGGUCGUAGACCCGAAACCAGGUGAUCUACCCUUGGUCAGGUUGAAGUUCAGGUAACACUGAAUGGAGGACCGAACCGACUUACGUUGAAAAGUGAGCGGAUGAACUGAGGGUAGCGGAGAAAUUCCAAUCGAACCUGGAGAUAGCUGGUUCUCUCCGAAAUAGCUUUAGGGCUAGCCUCAAGUGAUGAUUAUUGGAGGUAGAGCACUGUUUGGACGAGGGGCCCCUCUCGGGUUACCGAAUUCAGACAAACUCCGAAUGCCAAUUAAUUUAACUUGGGAGUCAGAACAUGGGUGAUAAGGUCCGUGUUCGAAAGGGAAACAGCCCAGACCACCAGCUAAGGUCCCAAAAUAUAUGUUAAGUGGAAAAGGAUGUGGCGUUGCCCAGACAACUAGGAUGUUGGCUUAGAAGCAGCCAUCAUUUAAAGAGUGCGUAAUAGCUCACUAGUCGAGUGACACUGCGCCGAAAAUGUACCGGGGCUAAACAUAUUACCGAAGCUGUGGAUUGUCCUUUGGACAAUGGUAGGAGAGCGUUCUAAGGGCGUUGAAGCAUGAUCGUAAGGACAUGUGGAGCGCUUAGAAGUGAGAAUGCCGGUGUGAGUAGCGAAAGACGGGUGAGAAUCCCGUCCACCGAUUGACUAAGGUUUCCAGAGGAAGGCUCGUCCGCUCUGGGUUAGUCGGGUCCUAAGCUGAGGCCGACAGGCGUAGGCGAUGGAUAACAGGUUGAUAUUCCUGUACCACCUAUAAUCGUUUUAAUCGAUGGGGGGACGCAGUAGGAUAGGCGAAGCGUGCGAUUGGAUUGCACGUCUAAGCAGUAAGGCUGAGUAUUAGGCAAAUCCGGUACUCAUUAAGGCUGAGCUGUGAUGGGGAGAAGACAUUGUGUCUUCGAGUCGUUGAUUUCACACUGCCGAGAAAAGCCUCUAGAUAGAAAAUAGGUGCCCGUACCGCAAACCGACACAGGUAGUCAAGAU